CCAGACUCCUACGGGAGGCAGCAGUGGGGAAUAUUGCACAAUGGGGGAAACCCUGAUGCAGCGACGCCGCGUGAGUGAAGAAGUAUUUCGGUAUGUAAAGCUCUAUCAGCAGGGAAGAAAAUGACGGUACCUGACUAAGAAGCCCCGGCUAACUACGUGCCAGCAGCCGCGGUAAUACGUAGGGGGCAAGCGUUAUCCGGAUUUACUGGGUGUAAAGGGAGCGUAGACGGCAUGGCAAGUCAGAUGUGAAAGCCCGGGGCUCAACCCCGGGACUGCAUUUGAAACUGUCAGGCUGGAGUGCAGGAGAGGUAAGUGGAAUUCCUAGUGUAGCGGUGAAAUGCGUAGAUAUUAGGAGGAACACCAGUGGCGAAGGCGGCCUGCUGGACGAUGACUGACGUUGAGGCUCGAAAGCGUGGGGAGCAAACAGGAUUAGAUACCCUAGUAACC
rnacentral:rRNA from 1 species